AUACAGAGGGUGCGAGCGUUAAUCGGAAUUACUGGGCGUAAAGCGCGCGUAGGCGGCUUAUUAAGUCAGAUGUGAAAUCCACGGGCUCAACCUGGGAACUGCAUCUGAUACUGGUAAGCUAGAGUUUUGGAGAGGGAAGUAGAAUUUCAGGUGUAGCGGUGAAAUGCAUAGAGAUCUGAAGGAAUACCAGUGGCGUAGGCGACUUCCUGGCCAAAAACUGACGCUGAGGUGCGAAAGCGUGGGUAGCAAACAGGAUUAGAAACCCUAGUAGUCC
rnacentral:rRNA from 1 species